rnacentral:lncRNA from 1 species
AAAGCUGCCCAGAUUCAGGCACAGACCCUCUCUCUCCACGAGAGGGGAGUCAGAGCACUUGUGGGCAUGUUUACAACUCCACAGGGAGGGCAUCGAUACCUGGCCAUGCCUGCCGCACCCCCCCACCCCCCCGGGCCAUGGGAAGCUGGGACAGUGAGUGUGGAACGCUAACGGGACAACUCAGACUCAGGUUAGCGCUGACCUCAGCAGCCCAUCACUGCCUCUUGGCCAAAAGAAAAAACUUUCCCCCUAUUUAUUUAUUUAGGCUGUGCUGGAUCUCAGUUGCCACACACGGGCUUUUCCAGCUGUGGCAUGAGUACUUAGUCGCAGUAUGUGAGGCCUUCAUUCCCUGAACAGGGCUUGGACCCUGGCCCCUCCACUGGCAGAGCAGCGUCUCAGUCACUGGUCAGCAGGGGAAGCCCGUUGGCGGGGUCUGGGGUGCUGGUCCGGGAGGACACGCUCCUGGUGGCCAGCAGGGGGCGCCCAGCAGCCCUUGGCGUCCCCAGGUCAGCAGCGGGCAGGAGAGGGUGCCUCUCUGGACACCGUCUGCCUCCACUGCCCAGCAAGGAGCCCUCGAGGGGGCCCCAGCUGUGUCCACACCCCUCCCUACGGACUCCAAAUAGGCUGUUGCUGGUUUUCCUUGCUUCUCACCAGCUGCGCCAGCUCCACGAGCCCCCUGGGGCCACACCCCAGGCGGGGCUCCGGCACUGGCUUUGCAACCUGGCGGGUCGCGAGCUGGGACAAACCACACCCCUGGUCUGGACUUUGGGCUUCCCCAGAGGUGUGGGCUGUGAUCCCGAGGCCUGUGUGCAGGUGUUUGAAGCAUCAGAUCGUUCUCUCUGGCUGUCCCAGCUCUCAGCUGCAGCACGCGGGGUCUGGUUCCCUGACCGGGGGUCGCACUCAGCCCCCGACGCCGGGAGCACAGACUGGUCGCCCCUGGGCCACCAGAGAAGUCCUGUGGCGUCAGCAAGAAAGACAGAAAGAAAGAAAACAGCCUGUGGCAGCCAUCCAGAACCAGGGCCUUCAGAGGCAGAGGGGAGAGUGAGGCCUUGGGGCAUGGAGUUGCCGGGAGGGACCACUUUUCAGGGAAUCGGCCGUUAAACUUCUCAGGACUCGGGGGAGCCUGGCCUUGGGUGCAGCCUGCUGACCUGAUGGCACAGGCCUGUGGGCUGAGCGCUGUGUGACACUGUGGGUACCAAGCAGGCUGUGAUGGCACUGGGGGGCACCCUGGCGGCUCAGCCCUUCCGUGGCCCCCUUGCCUUACCCGCUCUCUGUACCUGGGCACCGCUUCAGUUUCCCUGCUCUGGACCUCUUACCGUGCCUGUCUCUUGAAUCCUCCUUUCUGGGCCCAGACAGUUGAAGAGAUGGCCCCAAAUGGCAGUGCCACCAGCUUUCUGACCUGGAAGACUGCCACCACCUGGAUGCCACUGUCCAGGCCCCAGCCUGGGAUGGACCUCUGAUGGGCUGACAUUUGCCAAGUCAGGCCCAGACUGAACAAAACAGAAGCUUCAAUCCCAACUCUGCCUUUCUCUCUGUGUGACGACGGGUGAGACACAGAUCUUUCUGAACCUCAAUGUUCUCAUCUGCAAAAUGGAAAAUACACUAAUAAAGCUGUAAUAAGUUGUGGGGGUGAAUCCUGU